rnacentral:tRNA from 1 species
GAGGAAGGCCAAGAGGCAAUAAGCACUGCUAAUUCUUACAUCCAUGGUUAGACUCCAUGGCUUCCUUA